GACGAACGCUGGCGGCGUGCUUAACACAUGCAAGUCGAACGGAAAGGCCCUGCUUGCAGGGUACUCGAGUGGCGAACGGGUGAGUAACACGUGGGUGAUCUGCCCUGCACUUCGGGAUAAGCCUGGGAAACUGGGUCUAAUACCGGAUAGGACCAUCGUUUAGUGUCGGUGGUGGAAAGUUUUUCGGUGCAGGAUGAGCUCGCGGCCUAUCAGCUUGUUGGUGGGGUAAUGGCCUACCAAGGCGUCGACGGGUAGCCGGCCUGAGAGGGUGGACGGCCACAUUGGGACUGGGACACGUCCCAGACUCCGACGGGAGGCAGCAGUGGGGAAUAUUGAACAAUGGGCGCAAGCCUGAUGCAGCGACGCCGCGUGGGGGAUGAAGGCCUUCGGGUUGUAAACUCCUUUCAACCAUGACGAAGCAUUAUGUGACGGUAGUGGUAGAAGAAGCACCGGCUAACUACGUGCCAGCCGCCGCAGUAA
rnacentral:rRNA from 1 species